rnacentral:rRNA from 1 species
UAGGGAAUCUUCGGCAAUGGACGAAAGUCUGACCGAGCAACGCCGCGUGAGUGAAGAAGGUUUUCGGAUCGUAAAACUCUGUUGUUAGAGAAGAACAAGGACGUUAGUAACUGAACGUCCCCUGACGGUAUCUAACCAGAAAGCCACGGCUAACUACGUGCCAGCAGCCGCGGUAAUACGUAGGUGGCAAGCGUUGUCCGGAUUUAUUGGGCGUAAAGCGAGCGUAGGCGGUUUCUUAAGUCUGAUGUGAAAGCCCCCGGCUCAACCGGGGAGGGUCAUUGGAAACUGGGAGACUUGAGUGCAGAAGAGGAGAGUGGAAUUCCGUGUGUAGCGGUGAAAUGCGUAGAUAUAUGGAGGAACGCCAGUGGCGAAGGCGGCUCUCUGGUCUGUAACUGACGCUGAGGCUCGAAAGCGUGGGGAGCAAACAGG